rnacentral:rRNA from 1 species
AGAGUUUGAUCAUGGCUCAGGAUGAACGCUGGCGGCGUGCCUAAUACAUGCAAGUUGAACGAUUUGUUGCCUUCGGGCAACGAAUAGUAGCGAACGGGUGAGUAACACGUAGGUAACCUGGCCUUUAGAGGGGGAUAACUGUAGGAAACUGCAGCUAAGACCGCAUAAAGAGGACAAGGCAUCUUGUCAAGAAGAAAUAUACUGCAAGGUAUAGCUAAAGGAUGGGCCUGCGGUGCAUUAGCUAGUUGGUGAGAAAAAAGCCCACCAAGGUAAUGAUGCAUAGCCGAUCUGAGAGGAUGACCGGCCACACUGGAACUGAGACACGGUCCAG